rnacentral:lncRNA from 1 species
CUCUGCAAAGAUCUUUGUGUGUCUGGCUCUGGGGUGUGUGUUUUUAUUUUUUUAGUGGGGGGUGGUUUAGUUUUUGAAAGCAGCGUCCUGUUGGGAAAGGUGGUUAGUCUGGUUUCGGGGCGACUGUCUCAAGGUAAAGGAAUUUAAUUUAUUUGGGACAAGGCUGUGUCGGAUGAUCAAGCUGCUUAUUAUGGCUAAUGAGUAUUUUUCACCUGAGAAUCUGUGGGAUGAGGUGGCUGUUAUCAGUUCAAAGUGAGGGGCCCCGGACUGUCUCCCACCUGCCUCUUUAGCCCCCACCCUAGGGGUGGUGAUGGACCAGACAGACUACUCAACGUAGGCAUCUGGGUUUGGGGGCCUCCUGUGGGACAAGGCCGGGGGCUCCAGGAGGCCUGGUGCUCACCUGGGGCAGUUUAUCCUGAUAUUUUGGUGUUUUCUUGGGUUUAAUCUAAUUCUUUCCAGUGUUUUUGCCUUCAGCUCUUGCGGGCUUCCCAUGGGCCCUGGCUAUUGAAACCAAAUUUUGACCAGGACCCUCACGUGCUAGGUUGACAAAAGCAGCUGUCUUCUUAAAUGUUUUAAAAGAAACAAGCAGCCCGAUCAUUCAUUGAGACUGAUCUCUGAACUCUCCUGGUUCAUUGAUGGGAUAGGUGAUACUGGUGGCUGUUAGCGUUGUUGUUUAUAAUAGGCCCAAGUUCACAGCAUCGGCCCUUGGGACCCAUGAGCUGAUAUCUGACCUUCUAAAGGUCAGUGGGCAGAGAGACCGGAGGCAGCCCUGAGGGGAUGAGGAUGGGUGGCACGGUGGCCGGUGAAGAAGGGCCUGUGUUUGUUGGGGGGAGGUGUCAUUUGCAGAGUUUGAGGACUGUGUGACACCAGGUGUGAUCUUGGCUGGUCUGACGUGGAGGGCCUGGGGACCUCUGCGCCCGGGAAGGGUGUGACACCCCCUGCUGGGCAAAGUGGUAAAGGUGUCUAAGGCCAAGGCUGCCACCCUGCCCCUCCCUGCCCUCCACUCCCACAGAGAACCUGCCUGCCCCCACCUCCAGUCGGUGUCUCAUCACCUCCCUCUCAGGCCCCACCCCCUUUCUUCGGAAAUGGGGCCCCCACCCAUCCCAGCCAAGAAGCAGACCUCAGAGAUGGGCCUGGUGGCAAUGCACCACCCCUUACCUGGGGCAGGAGAGCCUCUGCUUGUGGGCCAGCACACAGGACCCAGGCAUUGCAGAGCUGGAAGGCAGGCCCUCUGGUCGGCCUCCUCCUAACCUGGGUGCCAGCUGGAGCCAGCGUCCAUCCUCCUGCCAUCCACCAACCAGUCCCUCCAAGUCUGUCGUGGGGACAGUACUCCAAAGCCCUUCUCUAGGGUGUCCUGACUGGAGCGAGGGCCUCCCAGCCCUGGUAGGAGGCAGGUGGCAGAGCCUCUUGUGGCUUCUCUCCUGGGCCUUAGGGAGACUGACUUCUCCCAGCACUCCAGGGACAGGCUCUGGAAACUUUUCCUAGAAGCUAGAAGGGACCCUGAGGUCAGCUGCUUCCUCCUGUAGCUGGAGUAGAGCACUCCCAGUGGGACUCAGGCCUGGACUCUGGCCACUCAGAGGGGAGGCCCAGGGUGGCAGAGUUCUGACUGUUUCCUGGAGGAGUCAUCUGGUGAUACCAUCUCAGUCUCUUCUUUGAACUUGGAAGUUUCACUUAUAAUCUCAGAACUUCAGAAGAAAAGCAGUCUUCCCCCCACUUCACCAAAAAAGGGAAGCAGAUGAGGACGCUGAGAUCCCCUCUGAGCUGGUCCCUGGGCUGACUCCAUGCUCAUCUUCAGGAGCUGGGAACAGCUCCCUCAACUUCAUAGUGCACACGGCAUACAGCUGGGGCCAUGGGCCUCGUCUCUGGCCGGGGCUCGUGGCUGGUGAAGUGAGGGUCCCUUCCUCUGGGGCAGCGUGGGCAGCUUCAGCCGAGGGCCUCUCUGACAUAGUCCAAGGCCAGGGGCGCAGGCCUCGAAGGGCUGCUGGCAUCAUGGACCCACCAUGCCUCCCUGAUCGCUUCACAGAGGCUCCUGCUGGCCUGUGUGGCUGGGACGUGGAGGAACCAGCAAAGGCGUCCACGUCAGGAAACUGUGGGGCUGCUCGCCCCGGGCCAGGGGCUCGUUUCUGAGCUGUAGGCUGGUCGAGGGCAGGCACCAAGGUGGAGGGAGGCCUGCUGUGGAAAUAGGAUCCCAGGGCACCCCUAGGCAGGUUGGUCCACCGAGGCACAGAGAGAGAUGGAGAGGCACAGAGAGAGAUGGAGGAGCCCAGGAGGAGAGCCCCUUUGUUCAGAGGAUGGUGGAGAGGCCUCCCCGGGGGCUCUUGGUGUCUUCUUUGUCCUGGUGGGAAGAGCCUGCAUUGGGGAUGUUCUGUUGAAAGGUCACCUUUUGGGGCUAACGCUGUGUGAUGGAGUGAGAGCUUUGCUUCUGUGGUGGCUCUCCUUGGAGAGGAAGGACAGGGGUGAGCAUGGGACAGGCAGG